UACGUAGGGGGCAAGCGUUGUCCGGAAUCAUUGGGCGUAAAGAGCGUGUAGGCGGCUCGAUAAGUCCGCUGUGAAAGUCCAGGGCUCAACCCUGGAAGGCCGGUGGAAACUGUCGGGCUAGAGUCCGGAAGAGGCGAGUGGAAUUCCUGGUGGUAGCGGUGAAAUGCGUAGAUAUCAGGAGGAACACCGGUGGUGUAAACGGCUCU
rnacentral:rRNA from 1 species